rnacentral:rRNA from 2 species
UACGGAGGAGGCAAGCGUUAUCCGGAAUUAUUGGGCGUAAAGCGUCCGUAGGUGGGUGAGGAAGUCUGCUGUCAAAGCGUGAGGCUUAACCUCAUAAGGGCAGUGGAAACUCUUCGUCUAGAGUGCGACAGGGGCAAGGGGAAUUCCUAGUGUAGCGGUGAAAUGCGUAGAGAUUAGGAAGAACACCGGUGGCGAAAGCGCCUUGCUGGGUCUGCACUGACACUGAGGGACGAAAGCUAGGGGAGCGAAAGGG